rnacentral:tRNA from 1 species
GCUCCCGUAGUUUAACGGAUAAAACAUCGGCUUGCGGAGCCGACGCUCCAGGUUCGAUUCCUGGCGGGAGCA